UGUCCAGUAGCACCUUAGAGAACAACUAAGUUUGUUCUGGGUAUAAGCUUUCCUUUGCAUGCACACUUCUUCAGAAACACACGAUAUGCAUGCACACAAAAGAAACUUAGUUGGUCUCUAAGGUGCUACUGGACA